rnacentral:rRNA from 1 species
UGGCGGACGGGUGAGUAAUGUCUGGGAAACUGCCUGAUGGAGGGGGAUAACUACUGGAAACGGUAGCUAAUACCGCAUAACGUCGCAAGACCAAAGAGGGGGACCUUCGGGCCUCUUGCCAUCGGAUGUGCCCAGAUGGGAUUAGCUAGUAGGUGGGGUAACGGCUCACCUAGGCGACGAUCCCUAGCUGGUCUGAGAGGAUGACCAGCUACACUGGAACUGAGACACGGUCCAG